GCGGGUGUAGUUCAAUGGCAGAACGGCAGCUUCCCAAGCUUCAUACGAGGGUUCGAUUCCCUUCACCCGCU
rfam:Variovorax sp. PAMC 28711, complete genome.